GCUUUGUUUCACUACCUAUGUGGGCACCCCUGCCUGGCCAUUGGCCACAGUGUAGAUGUAGAGUAAGCAUCACUAGCCUGUCAGAUUCCAAAUGUUACUUUGAAACCCUUGUUAUACUGCACUCCAUAAUUAUUACUUGGAGAUUUUUUUUUCCUUAUUCUAAAACUGAGGAAUAAAGUUUGUUUUAUAAGGUAAUUAACUUUUUGCUAUCUUUAAAAUGUUUUUAAGUUUUCUAAACAGAAUUCCAAACUCUGAUAUAUUAUGUUAAGUAUUAAGAAGUCCCAAAGGUAAACAUUCAUACCAUAUCAUUCUCACACAGAAACCUUCAAAUUAGUGCAUGAUACUUUUGUUCUAAAAUCAGUAGCUAAGUCAAUUUUAUUUUCUUUAUUCUCUCACUCCUACCUUAAAAUAGAACAAAAACAAAAACCACAUGCUGAAUUCCAGUAUACCAAGGGUUGCAAUAAUUUUAGUUUUUGUAAAAGUUUAAAAUUUCCUAUAGUUUAGGUGCCAGAUGGGCACUGGGUGUUUGUUUUAUGGCAGAUUUUCUUGUUCUUGUUAUAUUUUCUAGAAUAUCUCAAAAUAAUAAACUCUUCUCUCUGUUGUGUGUGUGACUUUUGUAGUGGAGAAGGCACAUGCAAAACCCUCCCAGAUGGCUGGACACAGUGGGUGCUCUGCAGCUGCAGGCUCUAGACACUAACUAAACCAGCGAGCACUCGAGCCCCCAAGUGUUUCCUGCUGUCACCAUUUGUUAACUGCAUUUUCUCUCUUUUUACGUUUUAGGCUGUUAAAGUAAUUUGACAGAAAAAAAAUGAGCAGGUUUUUGGAUCUAAAAGCCACUGUGACAGGACAGCACUAUUUUAAUGCCAUUUUGUAAAAACUUUUCUAAGGCAUACUUUACAAUUAGCUUGUUCCCAGUAAACUGCUGCUUGGUUUGCUUUUGGUAACUAUAAAUCUUUAUUUGAGGAAAUCAUUGACGUGAUAUACGUACUGAACUUUAACUUAAUAACUUAAUAUACUGGCCAUGAUCUACAUGCUUUCCCUUUCCUUUAAUAAACUGGUUAGUGGAAGCUGUAUCUUGUAAUUGUUGCUUUUUAGAUGCUUCUUAGAUAAUUGAAGACAAAUGUGAAGAUUUGCCACCAUACUUUGUGAAAGUUGGAAAUGUCUAAUCAUAGAGAAUUGCCUCUGGUUUUUCUAAAGAAAUUAUAUUUGGAGAUGAGUUAAGGCAUGCUAUUUUGGUAACAGUGUAUUAAAAUUAGAGAUGUGAGGCCAGUAACAAUGUUUCUAUGAAAGAAAGGUCAGAAGUUGAUUUAGUGUAUUUUGGAUAAGCAAUUCCUUUUAUUUCAGUGUGCCUAAGAUAAGACUUAACCACCACCUUACACCAACAGAGAACUUUACAGAACUCAAUUCAGGAUGAGUAAAGUAGACUGUAGGUCUUGAGACGGUCAUGUGAGUAAUUUGCAGAGUGCUUCAGUUAGCCAUAAUACAAUGAGCUUGGGAUGGAAUAUACGGUAUAUCAUAUAUCUGGGUCUUUAUAAUUAUUUUAAGCCAUAGUAAUUUUUGUAGAUGUUUUCGAAAGUGAGGUUUUGGGAAGUAUAUUAGAGCUUUAGAAAUACUCAGUUCAGGAAUAUGUUUUCGCUGCAUUUAAUUUGUGGUAUGAUGUGCUGUAUUAAUGUUACCUCCACAAGUAAACUGAUAUAUUCAAUCCCCUUGUCACCAUUCACUUGGUUUUAGCCCUUAACACUUGGUGUUGGCUCUUGGUCAGUGUGUUAGAACAAUAGACCAAAAGUAUACGGUAAGAAUAGCCUCACUUGGUAAAACAUAGAGAUAGAUAGCUGGAUGUGGAAGGUGCUCUUAAUAGUAAUGGAUUUGGGGACAUCUAGGUUCCUUGGUUAAUGUUUGUUUCUUUUGUCUGUUUCUUUUUCUUUCAUUUCUACACAUUCAUGCAGUAUUUCAUGGUUCUAUCAAAGCAGCAGUAAAAAAAAAAUACUCUUGACGCAUGAAAAUUAACUGUUCUUUUCCCUGGUUCAGCCUGAACUAUAUACCAGGCCCUGCUGAAAAUACCACCCAACAGUUUUCUUCUGCAGCUUAUCCAGUUUCUCUUAAGUGCCCUGUACAUAUUGUAUGUUUUAUGAUGAGAUGCAGUUUCUUAAUAUGUAUUACAGAAAUACUACUGGUAUUUGCAAAUAUGUAGUUUAAUUGUAUUAUUGAACUCUCAUUUUGGGGGCUUGGGCACAUUAACAGAUUAAUCCAUCUGUAUAGGGCUUUUGCUGUUGGAUAGAAUUUAAAUUGUCUACAUAAAUAAUUUGUCUUAGGACCUUUAGAUUUUAUCUGAAUACACAGAUUAGGCUUUAAAAGUAGGCAUACAUGUGGUUUUGGGCUUAAGGAGUUUUGAACAAGUUAGAUAUUGAACUGACACUAUAUAGCAACAUUUUUUGAUACGGUUAGCAUGGCACAUAUUGGAACCUAAAGCAUUUUACUGUACAGGUAAGGAAUGUGCCAUGUUUUACCUAUUCUCUCUCUCUCUCUCUCUCUCUCUCUCUCUCUCUCUCUCUCU